rnacentral:ncRNA from 1 species
ACAAAUUCAUUGAAAAAGAAAGUAAUUUAUUUUAAGUUUAUAGAGAGCUGAGGAUGGUGGAAGCUUGGCAAUUUUAAAAUAGAUGAAGAGAGCUUUGGAGAAGAUUAUCUGAACUUAAGUAGGAUAAUAGGAAUGCCUUGCCUUAAAAGGAAGAGUGAAUAAGUUUAUCUUAUUAAUUAGAGUGGUAACGCGGAAAUAUUUCGUCUCUUGA